UACGUAGGGGGCUAGCGUUGUCCGGAAUCAUUGGGCGUAAAGCGCGCGUAGGCGGCCCGGUAAGUCCGUUGUGAAAGUCAAAGGCUCAACCUUUGAAAGCCGAUGGAUACUGCCGGGCUGGAGUCCGGAAGAGGCGAGUGGAAUUCCUGGUGUAGCGGUGGAAUGCGCAGAUAUCAGGAGGAACACCGGUGGCGAAGGCGGGUCUCUGGGCCGAUACUGACGCUGAGGAGCGAAAGCGUGGGGAGCGAACAGG
rnacentral:rRNA from 1 species